GACAGAGGGGGCAAGCGUUGCUCGGAAUUACUGGGCGUAAAGGGCGCGUAGGCGGCCAACUAAGUCGGACGUGAAAUCCCUCGGCUUAACCGGGGAACUGCGUCCGAUACUGGAUGGCUGGAGGUUGGGAGAGGGAUGCGGAAUUCCAGGUGUAGCGGUGAAAUGCGUAGAGAUCCGGAGGAACACCGACGGCGUAGGCAGCGCCCUGGACGACACCUGACGCUGAGGCACGAAAGCUGGGGGAGCGA
rnacentral:rRNA from 1 species